rnacentral:rRNA from 1 species
UGGGGAAUUUUGGACAAUGGGGGCAACCCGUGAUCCAGCAAUGCCGCGUGUGUGAAGAAGGCCUUCGGGUUGUAAAGCACUUUUGUCCGGAAAGAAAACGCCGUGGUUAAUACCCGUGGCGGAUGACGGUACCGGAAGAAUAAGCACCGGCUAACUACGUGCCAGCAGCCGCGGUAAUACGUAGGGUGCAAGCGUUAAUCGGAAUUACUGGGCGUAAAGCGUGCGCAGGCGGUCCGCUAAGACAGAUGUGAAAUCCCCGGGCUUAACCUGGGAACUGCAUUUGUGACUGGCGGGCUAGAGUAUGGCAGAGGGGGGUAGAAUUCCACGUGUAGCAGUGAAAUGCGUAGAGAUGUGGAGGAAUACCGAUGGCGAAGGCAGCCCCCUGGGCCAAUACUGACGCUCAUGCACGAAAGCGUGGGGGAGCAAACAGGAUUAGAUACCCUGGUAGUCCACGCCCUAAACGAUGUNAACUAGUUGUGGGGAUUCAUUUCCUUAGUAACGUAGCUAACGCGUGAAGUUGACCGCCUGGGGAGUACGGUCGCAAGAUUUAAAAACUUAAAGGAAUUGACGGGGUCAUAGC